rnacentral:lncRNA from 10 species
UUUCCACUUGGGCGGCGCCAUGUUGUCUGCUCCUUACUAUCCACGUGGCUGGCAAAGAGAAGGGAGCAUGAAGCUGUCAUUUUGAACAUGCCUAGUCCCAGAGAUGCAUGCGGGGAGAACUCUAUGUGAAGGUGAAGGCAGAGAUGCUUCAUUAAGCCAAGGAAUGCCAAAGGUGGCCAGCAAACCACCAGAAACCAGGCAAGAUGCAUGGAACAGAUUCUGUCUCGUAGCUCUCAGAAGGAACCAACCCUGCCAUCGCACAUUGAUUUUGGACUUCUGGCUUCCAGAACUGUGUGGGUUUGUCAUCCAGCGAGGAGAUGAGGAGAAAGUGCUGGGCCACUCCACUGGAGAAAUUGGAGACCUUUCUUCUGGCUGUGUCUAGGGAGCCAAGAGAGUGAGAGAAAACUCUUUGAGGAAUUGGAAAUGGAAGAAAAUAAUUCUAAAAUUUGUAUGGAACCACAAAGACUGCUAAUAGCCAAAGCUAGUUUGAACAAGAAGAACAAAUCUGGAGGCCUCACACUUUCUGAUUUCAAAAUAUAUUACAAAGCUACAGUAGUAGCAUAAAAACAGAUGCAUAAACCAAUGGGUAGAAUAGACAGCCCAGAAAUAAGCCCACUUACAUGUGGUCAGCUAAGUUUUAACAAGGGUGCUAAGAAUACAUAAUAGGCAAAUGAUAGUCUCUUCAAUCAAGUAUGGAGAAAAUUGGAUAUCUACAUGCAAAAUGAUGAAACUGGACCAUUUUCUUGCACCAAAAAAUCAACUAAAAUGGGCUAAAGGCUUAAUUGUAAGACCUGCAAUCAUAAAACUCCUAGAAAAAAGCAUAAGGGAAAAGCUUCUUGAUAUUGGCCUUGGCUAUAAUUUUAUGAAUGUGACACUAAAAGCACAGAGAACAAAGGCAAAAUAGAAGACAGGGACUACAGCAAACUAAAAAGCUUCUGCACAGCAAAGGAAACAGUCAAGAAAAUGAAAAAGCAUCUAAUGGAAUGGGAGACAAUAUCGGCAAACCAUACAACUGAUAAAGGGUUAGUAUUAAAAAUACAUAAAGAACGCCGACAGCUCAAUAGCAAAAACCAAAUCAAACCAAACCAAGCAAGCAACCAAUCAAACCAAAAGCCCCAAAUAACCCUUGGGCAAAGGAACUGAAUAGACACUUUUCCAAAGAAGAUAUAUAAGUGGCCAACAGGCGUAUGAAAGUGUUCCACAUCUCUCAUCAUCAGGAAAAUUCAAAUCAAGACCAUAAUGAGAUAUUGCCUCAUCCCUGUUAGAAUGGCUAUUACAAAAAAACCCGGAAGAUAGGUGUUGGCAAAGAUUUGGGGAAAAGGAAAUUCAUAUACACUGUCGGUGGGAAUUGGUGCAGCCACCAUGAAAAACAGUAUGGAGGUUCCUCAAAAAAUUAAAAGUAGAACUAUCAUAUAUAUGAUCUGGCAGUCCCUCUCCUGAGUAUGUAUUCAGAGGAAUUGAAACAAGGAUCUUGAAGAGAUAUCUGCCCUCCCACGGUAAUUGCAGCAUUACCUCAAUAGCCAAGACACAGAAGCAACCUAAAUGUCCAUGGAUGGAUGAAUGGAUGAAUAAAAUGUGGUCUGUUUUUGUGAGAAGGUGGCCAAGAGGAAUCACCAUCCAAGGCACAAGUACUUGGAGCCACAGGACCUUUUAAACACUUCUGCUCAAUUAUGAUGACACAUACUGAGACAGGGUGGUCACAGGAGAAUAAAAAUUCCAGACAGCAGUUUCACAUGUCUAGAGGCUAUGGGCCGAGAAGAGCCUGAAAAACUACAUGUGGACCAAGCUGGCUAUGACCGACUUGACCCCACAUGGUGCUGGAUUCCACCUAGGUUUCUCCCCGGACCUCGUUAUAUGCUCAUUAAUAU